UGGCAUCGAGGAGCGCAAUCAGGUCACCAACUAUUUGAAGUGUAGUGAAUUUUGAUGGGUCCUCAACUGGCGCACCAGUGGUGUCACCAUAACCCCUCAAGUCUGGCGCCACGUCCCUGUAUCCUUGAGCCGCCAGGUACAGAAUUUGGUGACGCCAUGAAUACCAAAGCUCGGGGAAGCCAUGAAGGAAAAGGACUAAUGGGCCCUCACCAAGUUCGGCUACGUGCAUAUUCAGGCCAUUAACUGGUAUGAUCUUGUGCUCUAUUUUUUCCAUCUUCUCUCUCUCAAUGUUGGAGUACUACGCCGGUGAAUGGAAACGGAUGAUAGCGUGUCAUGAGAGUUCAUCAUAUUUCAACGGUGCAUUUAAUGUAGUCCAAAAUAUGGAGUAAGCGGUACGAUUUUAUCAAAUUUUGACAAAUUUUCAAAUCAAAUCGUUUAAAUCGGUUUGAGAAAAAUUCAAAUCUAAACUAAACCAUUUUGAACGGUUUGAAAAAAAUUCAAAUUUAAAUCUAACGGUUUGGUCCGAUUUUAAACCGUCAAUUUCGUUGUAUAUUUUUUUGUCUGUCUACUUUUAUGACAUUAAUUCAUUGAAUUCAAUAUAUAUUUAUAUCUUAUUAGCUAUAAAUCUAAAACAAUCUAAGCCCUUGUUUGAAUCAAAUUUUGGGGACAAAAAAAUGAAAAUUUAGACCAUUAUCCCACAAAUUCAACUACAUUUGUUGAUCUGUUGUUUCAUGCGUGGGACACAGUCUCCUCUCCAACUGUCAAUUUUCUCAUUAUGAUAACAUGAAAAAUAUGGCUUGAACAGGGGUUAAAUAUAUCUACUAAAUCAAAGUGAAAUCACAAUAAAUUAAAACAUAAUUUUUUUUCAUUUUUGUUCACCUUUUUUAGGCUAAUUACUUUAUGAUAACGUUACAAAACAAGUCUACAAAACGAGAUAUAGGAUCAAAAAAAUAUAAUGAUAUCCAACAAGACCUUGUGAUUAUUAUAUUUGAAAAAAUGUUACUGAUUAGACAAAGAAUAAUCAACCACAAUAAUAAAGCAGUUGUUUAUAAUAUCUAAACAUAACAAUUAUACAAGCUUACGUUUGUAUGUUGCGAAACACAUUUAAUUUUAGAUUCUUACCUCAGUUUGCUCAAAAAAAUUAUUGAUUUGAAACUUUAUUCGUAAUAAAUAUUAUCAUCGAAGGCCUAGGAUUUCUUUGUCUCCGAUUUGGUGUAAUGGACUACAAUUCAAUUUUGAAGAGGCAUAAAAAAUCUAAAGAAAAAGUGUGUGUGGUGUCGGUGGCUCAAGACUAUGUCGGGUGUCGACUAGAGUUUAUCUGAAUUCUAAAGAGGAAAAGGGUUUUUGAUAGAUUAUGUUAAUUUUGAGAUUAUUAAAUAUAAAUUAGGAUUAUUAGAUAAUAAUAAUUUAUAUGUAUUCGAAAAUUAGAAAUUGAUAAAAAUAUCCACAAAUGACAAAACUAUUGAAUUUUACAUAUUUGGAUGAAUUUUCAAAAAAAUUCAUUUUUUUAUUUUUUUUAUUUUUAUAUAUUUUUUGUCAGUUCGGUUUGAUUUUAAACCGCAAUUAAAAUUCUGAAACAUAAACCAAACCAUUUUGAUCGGUUUGGUUUGAUUCAAAAUCAUUUCGUUGAUUGGGUCCACGUGGUACCAAACCGAUAGUUUCUAAAAUGCGAUUUUGGUUCCAUUUUCCGAUUUUACGAUUUUUGCUUACAACCCUAGUGCAGAGGUGCAACUUUUUCAUUCAAAAUAAAAUCGUUAGCAAAAAGUAAAAUCCCAAAAAUCAAAAGUAACAACACAGAGAAAUUUUCAUUCACCAUCAAGUUUAGAUGUUCAUAUGCUCGAGAUGCUACUCUUUUGUUCAGCAUCUACAAGUAGGUGUUUGAGUUGGGUUGACUUUGAGCUCAACCCGAAACUGAAAUCUACUUGGUCGGUGUCGGUAAAUUUCAACUCAAACCAACUCAAUCUAGCUAUUGAAAUCGAACCAAACCAAAUCGAUUUUGUUUGGGUAGGUUUGGUUUUGUUAAUCAGUUUGAAUAUUUAUAUGAGUUUAAAAACUUCCCUAUCAAUUUUCGGUUAAAAAAUUUGUUUGCCUAUAUAUAUAAUUUUUUUUUUCUUAUGUAUUACAUAUUAAUCAUAUAGAUAUAAUGUAAAUUGUAAAGGUCAAUUUUCCAAAAUCAUCCCAUAUAUCCGAUAGUUACCAACAAACAAUUAUAUCAAAAUGAAAAGCAAUACUACAAUAUAAUUUUUGUGUUUACAGCAAACAAUUCUUCUCAUUGCUUUUUCCUUUUGCCCUUUUGGAAUUUGAAAUUUUAGUAGAAAAUCCGGUAAAUAAAUUAUUUUUGAAAGAAUUAUAUUUAUGUUCUUAUUCUUUUAUUUUUUCAGUUUAAAAAUAUGAAUUUCAAAGUAAAAAAAUAAAAAUAAAAAUAAAAUUGUAUUAGCGAAUUAAGUCAAUUAAUUGACAGGUUGUUUGCUUAAAACCGCAAUCAAAUUGACCUGACUUUUUAAUAGUUGAAAUUAAUCGAACCAAAUCGAUUUUUUUUGUUCAAAUUGACCCGACUCGAUUUGAUUGAUUUUUCGAUUUUUUUUGUCCAUCUCUAUCUAUAAGUAGACAUUGCUCGUAUUCACUAAAAAUCAAUCAAGAACACUACAAUACGAAUGUACGAAGGAAUUUCUAUAUCCCCAGUUUCCUGAAACAUUUUCAGCCAACAUUCCUGUUAGUUUGAUCAUUGAAGAUAAAAUUCAAAGGCUACAUCUAGUACCAGACUGGUGAUUCGGAGGAUUCACCUAGGUCAUUUUAUUAAUUGAAGCUUCACAAUCCAAAACAUGGCACAACUACGAAUAACGUAUGCUUGAUUUCUUAAACUUUUCUUCUUAAGUUUCUCCACAUUUCCAUGAACUUACGUAUACUAAAUUUGGCCUUGAUUAAUUCCAGGGAGAUGAUAAGAUUCUUAACCAAUUGAAUCAAUAAUUUCACCCACAAAAUAAUCCAUAUGAUUUACCUCAAUGAAGUUUUUGACACCCCUUCGCAAUGUUUAGAUUCUUCUUGAGAACAAAUAAUUAGAACCAUACAGGCCCUUAUUCAUUGAUAAACAUUCUGCCCCGUUUUAUAAAACACGACUACAAGCCGAUUCACAACAUAUUAGCACCAAAAGCUUAAUGAUAUCGACUCCCGGCUUGACUAUAAGGACCAAAAAACUCAAGUAUAAACUGAAAACGCCCUUAUGGAUAUUAUAGUAAAAUGACGAGGUGCUGAUGUUUAUUACAAACAAACCUCUAGUUUUAACAAUUAUUAGCGCAGAUAAGCAGGCAAGUGAGCUUAAAGAAACUCAUUCCAAAUAAAAGAGGGUUUAGAACUGCUUAAGAAAUUCAUAAAUGUGUUGACUGAUCUCAUCUGGUCUUUCUUGAUUGAUAAAGUGUGCUGCACCUUCAAUCACAACAACUUCCUGCAACAAUGGCACGUAUUUCUGGAACCCACCUUUGUGUAUGAAUUCUUUGGUCCCUUGUAUAUGAUAGGUCAGGUCAAAUUCCCCAACUAUGAACUUCGCUGGCACUUUCACCUGAGCCCCGGUCCAUGGGGCAUUCAGUUCCCAGCUCCUGCAAUUCAUAUUUAGGACUGUCAAUUCAAAACAUAUCACUCUGAAUUCAGCUUCAAGGCAUUACAGUGUAUGUAAGAACUUUUGCAAAAUCAAGAGUGUGAUUUACUCUAAACUUAAGACAGUCCGUGUAGACAUCUGAAAUUUUGAAUAAUGAAAAGAGGAUGCGAGAAUUUUAUGAUAUUGCUUUGUGACUUUGGUCCAUAUCUAUAAAACAACACAUGUAGGUGGCAUUGGUGACAUCUAGAGGCCAAGUACCUGCCAAAAGCGCGGUAGUAAUUCACUCCUCCUGAGAAUCCAGUUUGCUCAAACUUCUUGGCGUAGUAGUCCAAAUCAUCUUCUGAUAACCAAUUUGGCUUAUCAGCAGAACUGCCGAAGCCUUUACCUUUAGGAAAAUAAAAUGGUCCAGGAGUGCGAUAUGCUAAAAAGUUCUUGAGAACUUCUUUGGUGCCAAUCUGCGCAAACUCAGCUUCUAUGUCCCCUGGUUCCUAAAACAUUGUCAACCAACAUUCCUGUCAGUUUGAUCAUCCAAGAUAAAAUUAAUUUCUUGUAAAGAAAAGGAUACAUCGGUUACCAGACCUAUGUUUUGAAUCAUUCACCUAAGUCAUUCUCACAUUGAAGCUCCACGAGGAAAAACGUGGCUCGACUACAAAUAACAUAUGCUUUAUUUUUAAAAAAAUUUCUUCUCAACUUUCUCUCCGUUUCCAUUAACUGCCGCUGUCAUUACACACUAUUCAUCUAUAGAUUUGGUGCAGAAUUCAAGCAAAUGUUAAGUAUUUCAAAGAUUAAUAUAGCCAAGGAGACGAUGAGAGUCUGAACCAAUUGAAUCUAUAAUUUCAUCAAUCAAUCUUCAUUAAUUUUCUAAUACCCUUUGCCAUCUUCUUGACAUAAUCAGAACCAUACAAGGGGCACUAAGUAAAGUAUCAAUAAACGUAAAAUGGAUACAAAAUAAUUUGUGCCAAAUUUCUCUCCCAGGUUUCUGUAUAUCAAGUAUAAUUGCCUGUUCAGCAUCAUCAAAUUAAAUAUCCAUUAUCUUGCUUAAUUUGUGGGUGAAAUCCUAAAUGAUUCACAAAGAACCAUCAUAAACACAAAUUGUGGGAAGGGAAUCAAGAUUUCAUACUCAAAUCAAUAUUGCUGUCUCCCUCAGUUGGAAAACCCACCUAGAACAGCCUUAAAACCAGAGAGUGCCUUCAAAAGUUGUCGUUCCAAGCUCACAAAUAAGUAUCUCAAACACAAGUUGUGGGAGAAAAUUAAGUUUCAAUAAUCAAAAUCAAAAUUGAUUUCUAUUUCUCUCUCUCAGCUAAUUCACCCACAAGAAAGACUUUCCACGAAAUGAUAUGGGAGUUAAGAGGCAGUUGCCACACACAAGCUAGUUUGCAGAAUAAAGUACCUGAAAUCUGCAAAUAUAGUGGUCAUCUCCAUAUAGACUGCGAAACUUGUCGACAGGAUUCAUUUCGGGACUUCUUGGAAUAAAAGCAACACUCAAAUUCACCAAAGCCUUCACUUUGUCAGGCCUGUACAAGCACAAGUGCCAGGCCAUGAAAGCACCCCAGUCAUGCCCAACAACAAAAACCUUAUUUGCAUCGGGCGCAAUGGCAUCGAGGAGCGCAAUCAGGUCACCAGCUAUGUGAAGUGUGGUGAAUUUUGAUGGGUCCUCAACUGGUGCACCAGUGGUGUCACCAUAACCCCUCAAGUCUGGCGCCACGGCCCUGUAUCCUUGAGCUGCCAGGUACAGAAUUUGGUGACGCCAUGAAUACCAAAGCUCGGGGAAGCCAUGAAGGAAAAGGACUAAUGGGCCCUCACCAAGUUCGGCUACGUGCAUCUUCAGGCCAUUAACUGGUAUGAUCUUGUGCUCUAUUUUUUCCAUCUUCUUUGUCUGUCUGUCUGUCUGUCUAUCU
rnacentral:lncRNA from 1 species